rnacentral:rRNA from 1 species
GCGGACUGAAUGAAAGCUUGCUUUCAUUCGGUUAGCGGCGGACGGGUGAGUAACACGUGGGCAACCUGCCCGUAAGACCGGGGUAACUUCGGGAAACCGGAGCUAAUACCGGAUAACACCGAAGAUCGCAUGAUCUUUGGUUGAAAGGCGGCUUUGGCUGUCACUUACGGAUGGGCCCGCGGCGCAUUAGCUAGUUGGUGAGGUAACGGCUCACCAAGGCGACGAUGCGUAGCCGACCUGAGAGGGUGAUCGGCCACACUGGGACUGAGACACGGCCCAGACUCCUACGGGAGGCAGCAGUAGGGAAUCUUCCGCAAUGGACGAAAGUCUGACGGAGCAACGCCGCGUGAGCGAAGAAGGUCUUCGGAUUGUAAAGCUCUGUUGUUAG